rnacentral:rRNA from 1 species
UGGGGAAUAUUGCACAAUGGGCGCAAGCCUGAUGCAGCCAUGCCGCGUGUAUGAAGAAGGCCUUCGGGUUGUAAAGUACUUUCAGCGGGGAGGAAGGGAGUAAAGUUAAUACCUUUGCUCAUUGACGUUACCCGCAGAAGAAGCACCGGCUAACUCCGUGCCAGCAGCCGCGGUAAUACGGAGGGUGCAAGCGUUAAUCGGAAUUAAUGGGCGUAAAGCGCACGCAGGCGGUUUGUUAAGUCAGAUGUGAAAUCCCCGGGCUCAACCUGGGAACUGCAUCUGAUACUGGCAAGCUUGAGUCUCGUAGAGGGGGGUAGAAUUCCAGGUGUAGCGGUGAAAUGCGUAGAGAUCUGGAGGAAUACCGGUGGCGAAGGCGGCCCCCUGGACGAAGACUGACGCUCAGGUGCGAAAGCGUGGGGAGCAAACAGG